CAGCCGCCACGGGAAUACGGAGGGAGCUAGCGUUGUUCGGAAUUACUGGGCGUAAAGCGCACGUAGGCGGUUAUUCAAGUCAGAGGUGAAAGCCCGGGGCUCAACCCCGGAACUGCCUUUGAAACUAGAUGACUAGAAUCUUGGAGAGGUCAGUGGAAUUCCGAGUGUAGAGGUGAAAUUCGUAGAUAUUCGGAAGAACACCAGUGGCGAAGGCGACUGACUGGACAAGUAUUGACGCUGAGGUGCGAAAGCGUGGGGAGCGAACAGGAUUAGAUACCCCGGUAGUCCCUGUCUCUUAUAC
rnacentral:rRNA from 1 species